rnacentral:tRNA from 1 species
GGAAUGUUAAGACUGUGGCUCAGUGGUUGAGUGUUUGCUUGGUAUGCUAAAGGUUUCAGGUUUGAUCCUGGGCAGCUCCA